GAUGAACGCUGGCGGCGUGCCUAAUACAUGCAAGUCGAGCGAACGGACGAGAAGCUUGCUUCUCUGAUGUUAGCGGCGGACGGGUGAGUAACACGUGGAUAACCUACCUAUAAGACUGGGAUAACUUCGGGAAACCGGAGCUAAUACCGGAUAAUAUUUUGAACCGCAUGGUUCAAAAGUGAAAGACGGUCUUGCUGUCACUUAUAGAUGGAUCCGCGCUGCAUUAGCUAGUUGGUAAGGUAACGGCUUACCAAGGCAACGAUGCAUAGCCGACCUGAGAGGGUGAUCGGCCACACUGGAACUGAGACACGGUCCAGACUCCUACGGGAGGCAGCAGUAGGGGAUCUUCCGCAAUGGGCGAAAGCCUGACGGAGCAACGCCGCGUGAGUGAUGAAGGUCUUCGGAUCGUAAAACUCUGUUAUUAGGGAAGAACAUAUGUGUAAGUAACUGUGCACAUCUUGACGGUACCUAAUCAGAAAGCCACGGCUAACUACGUGCCAGCAGCCGCGGUAAUACGUAGGUGGCAAGCGUUAUCCGGAAUUAUUGGGCGUAAAGCGCGCGUAGGCGGUUUUUUAAGUCUGAUGUGAAAGCCCACGGCUCAACCGUGGAGGGUCAUUGGAAACUGGAAAACUUGAGUGCAGAAGAGGAAAGUGGAAUUCCAUGUGUAGCGGUGAAAUGCGCAGAGAUAUGGAGGAACACCAGUGGCGAAGGCGACUUUCUGGUCUGUAACUGACGCUGAUGUGCGAAAGCGUGGGGAUCAAACAGGAUUAGAUACCCUGGUAGUCCACGCCGUAAACGAUGAGUGCUAAGUGUUAGGGGGUUUCCGCCCCUUAGUGCUGCAGCUAACGCAUUAAGCACUCCGCCUGGGGAGUACGACCGCAAGGUUGAAACUCAAAGGAAUUGACGGGGACCCGCACAAGCGGUGGAGCAUGUGGUUUAAUUCGAAGCAACGCGAAGAACCUUACCAAAUCUUGACAUCCUUUGACAACUCUAGAGAUAGAGCCUUCCCCUUCGGGGGACAAAGUGACAGGUGGUGCAUGGUUGUCGUCGGCUCGUGUCGUGAGAUGUUGGGUUAAGUCCCGCAACGAGCGCAACCCUUAAGCUUAGUUGCCAUCAUUAAGUUGGGCACUCUAAGUUGACUGCCGGUGACAAACCGGAGGAAGGUGGGGAUGACGUCAAAUCAUCAUGCCCCUUAUGAUUUGGGCUACACACGUGCUACAAUGGACAAUACAAAGGGCAGCGAAACCGCGAGGUCAAGCAAAUCCCAUAAAGUUGUUCUCAGUUCGGAUUGUAGUCUGCAACUCGACUACAUGAAGCUGGAAUCGCUAGUAAUCGUAGAUCAGCAUGCUACGGUGAAUACGUUCCCGGGUCU
rnacentral:rRNA from 1 species